rnacentral:rRNA from 1 species
UAAUACGGAGGAUGCGAGCGUUAUCCGGAUUUAUUGGGUUUAAAGGGUGCGUAGGCUGUGUUUGUAAGUCAGCGGUGAAAGACCCGGGGCCCAACUCCGGAAGUGCCRUUGAUACUGCAUUGCUAGAGUUCCCCUGCCGUGGGAGGAAUGAGUGGUGUAGCGGUGAAAUGCAUAGAUAUCACUGCAAGAACACCGAUUGCGAAGGCAUCUCACSAAGAGGCAACUGACGCUSAGGCACGAAAGCGUGGGGAUCAAACAGGAUUAGAUACCCUGGUAGUCCACGCUGUAAACGAUGAUGACUAGCUGCCGGCGAUACACUGUCGGUGGCCCAGCGAAAGCGAUAAGUAAUCCACCUGGGGAGUACGAYCGCA